rnacentral:rRNA from 1 species
AUACGGAGGAUCCGAGCGUUAUCCGGAUUUAUUGGGUUUAAAGGGUGCGCAGGCGGCCAUUUAAGUCAGCGGUUAAAUCGUGGGGCUCAACCCCAUUCUGCCGUUGAUACUGGGUGGCUUGAUUGCGGUCGAGGUUGGCGGAAUUCGUUGUGUAGCGGUGAAAUGCAUAGAUAUGACGAAGAACACCGAUUGCGUAGGCAGCUGACCAGACCGCAAAUGACGCUCAUGCACGAAAGUGCGGGGAUCGAACAGGAUUAGAUACCCUGGUAGUCCGCACAGUAAACGAUGAAUACUUGUUUUCGGCGAUAUAAUGUCGGAGGCAAAGCGAAAACGAUAAGUGUUCCCCCUGGGGAGUGCGCCGGCAACGGUGAGACUCAAAUGAAUUGACGGGG